rnacentral:rRNA from 1 species
GACGAACGCUGGCGGCGUGCUUAACACAUGCAAGUCGAGCGGUAAGGCCCUUUCGGGGGUACACGAGCGGCGAACGGGUGAGUAACACGUGGGUGACCUGCCCUCAGCUCUGGGAUAAGCCUGGGAAACUGGGUCUAAUACUGGAUAUGACUCCACGGUGCAUGUCGUGGGGUGGAAAGCCUUGUGCGGCUGAGGAUGGGCCCGCGGCCUAUCAGCUUGUUGGUGGGGNGAUGGCCUACCAAGGCGACGACGGGUAGCCGGCCUGAGAGGGCGACCGGCCANACCCCCUGGGACUGAGACACGGCCCAGACUCCUACGGGAGGGCAGCAGUGGGGAAUCUUGCGCAAUGGGCGAAAGCCUGACGCAGCGACGCCGCGUGAGGGAUGACGGCC